UCAGGAUGAACGCUGGCGGCGUGCUUAACACAUGCAAGUCGAACGGACCUUCGGGUCAGUGGCGGACGGGUGAGUAACGCGUGGGAACCUGCCCUCAGGAGGGGGAUAACGGCUGGAAACGGCCGCUAAUACCCCAUAUGCCGAGAGGUGAAAAGAAUUUCGCCUGAGGAUGGGCCCGCGUCUGAUUAGCUAGUUGGUGGGGUAAAGGCCUACCAAGGCGACGAUCAGUAGCUGGUCUGAGAGGAUGAUCAGCCACACUGGGACUGAGACACGGCCCAGACUCCUACGGGAGGCAGCAGUGGGGAAUUUUCCGCAAUGGGCGAAAGCCUGACGGAAGCAACGCCGCGUGAGGGAUGAAGGCCUCUGGGCUGUAAACCUCUUUUCUCAAGGAAGAAGAACUGACGGUACUUGAGGAAUAAGCCACGGCUAAUUCCGUGCCAGCAGCGGC
rnacentral:rRNA from 1 species